AGUCGGUCCGUACCCGGUAAGGGACUAUCGAGUACGAGGUGGUGCAUGGCUGUCGUCAGCUCGUGUCGUGAGAUGUUGGGUUAAGUCCCGCAACGAGCGCAACCCUUAUUCUUAGUGUUUCCCUUUGGGAUUACCCUCUAAGAAGACUGCCUCGGAUAACGGGGAGGAAGUGGGAUGACGUCAAGUCCGCAUGCUCCUUACGUCUAGGGCUACACACGUCCUACAAUGGGGUCGACAAUGGGAUGCAAUAUCGCAAGAUGGAGCCAAUCCCCAAACGGCCUCUCAGUUCGGAUUGUAGUCUGCAACUCGACUACAUGAAGUUGGAAUCGCUAGUAAUGGCGGAUCAGCAUGCUGCCGUGAAUACGUUCCCGGGUCUU
rnacentral:rRNA from 1 species